rnacentral:lncRNA from 1 species
UUAUCCUCGUCUAUUUGAAGAAAUGAGUUGAGGUAUGAGUUAUUGAGCUUAAAUUGAAUUUAGAUUGAAUUUGAGUUUCGAGGACGAAAUUUUUUUUUUUUGGAGGGGAGGAUGUAAGGUACCGAACUUCUUAAAUUAUAAAGUUACGGUGGGAUGUAAUAUGCUAAAUUUUUAAUAUAAAAAUAAAUAUAAAUAAAAAUAGUAUGAGAUACUAUUUUUAUUGGACUUGUAGGCAUAAAAUAUAAGUCUGGAAUGACCCGUGUUGAAAUCGGAGCGAAAACAGAAGAUUUAGAAUUUUCUGUGUGAAACGGGGUAGAUAAAUUAGCAAAAAAUGCACAGUGUCAGAAAAUUAUGAAAACUGGAGGAUAUGUCAGAAUUAUUUUUGUAAGGCUAGAAUUAAAGUUUCACCUCAUUCUGACACCCGAACGGUGGAAAAUAAAAUCCGACUGCUAUCUGCUAGAGAUGCUAUCUGCUAGAGAUUACAGUUUGGUAGGGCUUUCGGUGACCAAACGGGGUUGAAACUGAAAGAUUAAAAUUUUCUUUCGUUAAGU